rnacentral:tRNA from 1 species
GAGGGUACAGCUCAAGUGGUAGAGCACAUGCUUAGCAUGCACAAGGUCCUGGGUUCAAUCCCCAGUGCCUCCU